rnacentral:rRNA from 1 species
ACGCUCGACACCUACGGGGGCAGCAAUGGGGAAUAUUGCACAAUGGGGGAAACCCUGAUGCAGCGACGCCGCGUGAGCGAAGAAGUAUUUCGGUAUGUAAAGCUCUAUCAGCAGGGAAGAAACUGACGGUACCUGACUAAGAAGCACCGGCUAAAUACGUGCCAGCAGCCGCGGUAAUCUGAGCGGGCUGGCAAGGC